rnacentral:rRNA from 1 species
UACAGAGGGUGCGAGCGUUAAUCGGAAUUACUGGGCGUAAAGCGUGCGUAGACGGUUAUUUAAGUCGGGUGUGAAAGCCCCGGGCUCAACCUGGGAAUUGCAUUCGAUACGGGCUAGCUAGAGUGUGGUAGGGGAGAUCGGAAUUCCUGGUGUAGCGGUGAAAUGCGCAGAUAUCAGGAGGAACACCAGCGGCGAAGGCGGCGCUCUGGGCCGGAACUGACGCUGAGGAGCGAAAGCGUGGGGAGCAAACAGG